UGAGGAAUUUUGCGCAAUGGGGGAAACCCUGUCGCAGCGACGCCGCGUGGAGGAUGAAGGCCUUCGGGUCGUAAACUCCUGUCAGAGGUGAAGAAUGCCCGCAAGGGUUUGACGGUAACCUCAGAGGAAGCCCCGGCUAACUACGUGCCAGCAGCCGCGGUAAUACGUAGGGGGCAAACGUUACUCGGAAUUACUGGGCGUAAAGGGUGCGUAGGCGGCUGGGAAAGUCAAGGAUGAAAUCCCGUGGCUCAACUGCGGAACGGUCCUUGAAACUACUCGGCUUGAGGAUAACCGAAGAGAACGGAAUUCCCGGUGGAGCGGUGAAAUGCGUAGAUAUCGGGAGGAACACCUGAGGCGAAAGCGGUUCUCUAGACUACUCCUGACGCUGAGGCACGAAAGCUAGGGGAGCAAACGG
rnacentral:rRNA from 1 species